UAUUUCCUGCUUUGGGCCUUAUUAUAAUUUGAUAUGUCUAAUCUAUUAGGGCAUUUUUAAAGUAAUCUAAGCAAGGAGUAUAAACCUGCUAUAAUUUUCAUAUAUACAUUUUUUAAACAUUUUUUUGUUGUUGUUGUCUGGCUCAUGUAUGUAAAACAUUCACGCAACACAAAUAACAGACAAAUCAUACAAUUAAGUGAAAUCAAACCAAAAACUUUGGCUCAGUCACCUCAAAUGUACGUCUUUCAGUGUAUAAACCAAAAAUUAUACAGAAUGUGUUUCUCUGUAUAUCCCUCUGGGUGCUAUUGUCAUACUACACCUCAUGCACUCGACAGGAGCAGCUGUAUUUCUGAUUUGUCUGUGAAAUGAAGCACCUUGACACUUGUAUUUGGAUCUGUUUAUGGAGCCCUCAACCACAGCUGGCUCUUUCUUCAUAGGCAGUAAAUAAAGACUGCAGGUUGUGUGCUGUUUCAAAUGAUUUUUGGCAGUUAUUCAAAUUGCUGCCACAACAAACCAGUGCACUUUCAUAAUUAAAUUGGGUCUGCACAUUACAGUUUAUUUUUGUUCAUGCUGCACAUCAAUGACUACAGUUGACGCUGUGACCAAAAUGUAACAUAUAACCUAAAGUGUAUCUUGCGAUAGAUUGCUCCAGCCACAAUACAGCGAUUCACAACUUUAAACAAAUGUGGGCCAGUGGGCGUAAAGUGGGGAGCACUGGCUCCUUCCCAACUUCCUACCCCCUACUUCUGGCCCUCUUGCUCAGACCACACCCAUCUUCAAAGUCAGACUUUAUUUUGAUCUCAGCUACACACCUGUCAAGUUUUGUGACUGUAUCUUACAUGGUUGUGACAUUAUCACAUGGACAAAAUCUAAAAAAAAAAUAAAUAAAAAUCAGCAGUAAGUGGUAAUUCUUCCUACCUGGACCACAUGUAGCCAUGGUGACACACACACACACACAGACUCCUGAGAGGAAAACAAUAUCAACUUUUGCAAUGUUGUCAUGGCUGGUAAUAAUACACGUUUCAAUGCUGUACAAAUUUUAAGAGUGUAUAAUUACUUUUGUGGUUUCUUCUCAGAAAACAAUUUGCACGUCUGGAUCCUCGUCUGUUGCGCAGUGUUUGCUGUACUGAUAGUGGUGUGUUGCUGUUUGUGCUGGAAAAAGAAAUGUCAGAAGAAGUCAGGUAUAUAACUAAUAAACGCCCUGAGUUUGGACUUUUAACUGGGGCACUUAUGGGCACCGAAGGGAGGACUCACAAAAGGAGCAGGACUUUUACACAAAAUAGGAGCUGGAAAAGUCUUUGAAGUUUUCUUUCUGUAUCUAGUGUUGAAAAAGAUUUUUAAUAUGCAACGCUGACUUAUAUCAGUGAAUUGCAGCAGCAGCAACUGUGUAACUAUAUUUGUGUGGUCACUGGUUAAAAUAACUGAAUGUAAAUCACCAUAGUUUUGAUCUAUCCUUUGUGAAACAUUGAUUCGAGAUUGUUGGUCAUUAUGUAAAAAAAUGUAAAAAAUUACAGUAACUAAUCUUUAUUCUUUUAAAUACAUGAUUAUUUUUUUCUCUUUUUUGAUUUCAUUCAGUGUCUGUGGUCUGUUUAUGUUACUGUGCUUUACUCAAGUUAAACUUGGUGUGUAAUAUGAGCUGGAAUAUUUGCACUGUAGAUACCAAAAAUAAAACUUUGUACUAUUAAGCACAACAUUUUUAA